GAUGAACGCUGGCGGCGUGCCUAAUACAUGCAAGUCGAGCGAACAGACGAGGAGCUUGCUCCUCUGACGUUAGCGGCGGACGGGUGAGUAACACGUGGAUAACCUACCUAUAAGACUGGGAUACCUUCGGGAAACCGGAGCUAAUACCGGAUAAUAUAUUGAACCGCAUGGUUCACUAGUGAAAGACGGUUUUGCUGUCACUUAUAGAUGGAUCCGCGCCGCAUUAGCUAGUUGGUAAGGUAGCGGCUUACCAAGGCAACGAUGCGUAGCCGACCUGAGAGGGUGGUCGGCCACCCGGGAACGGAGACACGGUCCAGACCCCGACGGGAGGCAGCAGCAGGGAAUCUUCCGCAAUGGGCGAAAGCCUAACGGAGCAACGCCGCGUGAGUGAUGAAGGUCUUCGGAUCGUAAAACGCUGUUAUUAGGGAAGAACAAAUGUGUAAUUAACUAUGCACGUCUUGACGGUACCUAAUCAGAAAGCCACGGCUAACUACGUG
rnacentral:rRNA from 1 species